UACGUAGGGGCAAGCGUGUCCGGAAUCAUUGGGCGUAAAGCGGCGUGUAGGCGGUUACGUAAGUCUGCUGUGAAAGUCGGAGGCUCAACCUCGAAAGCCGGUGGAUACUGCGUGACUAGAGUACGGGAAGAGGAGAGUGGAAUUCCUGGUGUAGCGGUGAAAUGCGCAGAUAUCAGGAGGAACACCGGUGGCGAAGGCGGGCUCUGGGCCCGGAUACGCUUGAGGGACGAAAAGCGUGGGGGGAGCAAAACAG
rnacentral:rRNA from 1 species